GGCUGGAUAGCUCAGUCAGUUAGAGCAUUGUCCUGAUAUGUCAAGGUUCUGAAUUCGAUCCCCAGUCAGGCAA
rnacentral:tRNA from 1 species